UCAGGAUGAACGCUGGCGGCGUGCCUAACACAUGCAAGUCAACGGGGUUACUGGCAGCGGAGAUUCGGUCAAAGCAGCCUUUAAUCUAGUGGCGGACGGGUGAGUAACGCGUGGGGAACCUGCCCUGUACUGGGGGAUAACAGUGAGAAAUCACUGCUAAUACCGCAUAAGCGCACAGCAUCGCAUGAUGCAGUGUGAAAAACUGAGGUGGUACAGGAUGGCUCCGCGUUGGAUUAGCCAGUUGGCGGGUAACGGCCCACCAAAGCGACGAUCCAUAGCCGGCCUGAGAGGGUGAACGGCCACAUUGGGACUGAGACACGGCCCAGACUCCUACGGGAGGCAGCAGUGGGGAAUAUUGCACAAUGGGGGAAACCCUGAUGCAGCCGACGCCGCGUGAAGGAAGAAGUAUCUCGGUAUGUAAACUUCUAUCAGCAGGGAAGAUGAUGACGGUACCUGACUAAGAAGCCCCGGCUAACUACGUGCCAGCAGCUGC
rnacentral:rRNA from 1 species